GAUGAACGCUGGCGGCGUGCCUAAUACAUGCAAGUCGAGCGAACGGACGAGAAGAUUGCUUCUCUGAUGUUAGCGGCGGACGGGUGAGUAACACGUGGAUAACCUACCUAUAAGACUGGGAUAACUUCGGGAAACCGGAGCUAAUACCGGAUAAUAUUUUGAACCGCAUGGUUCAAAAGUGAAAGACGGUCUUGCUGUCACUUAUAGAUGGAUCCGCGCUGCAUUAGCUAGUUGGUAAGGUAACGGCUUACCAAGGCAACGAUGCAUAGCCGACCUGAGAGGGUGAUCGGCCACACUGGAACUGAGACAAGGUCCAGACUCCUACGGGAGGCAGCAGUAGGGAAUCUUCCGCAAUGGGCGAAAGCCUGACGGAGCAACGCCGCGUGAGUGAUGAAGGUCUUCGGAUCGUAAAACUCUGUUAUUAGGGAAGAACAUAUGUGUAAGUAACUGUGCACAUCUUGACGGUACCUAAUCAGAAAGCCACGGCUAACUACGUG
rnacentral:rRNA from 1 species